GACGAACCGAGCGAACGUUGUUCGGAAUCACUGGGCUUAAAGGGCGCGUAGGCGGGCCGCCAAGUUCGAGGUGAAAUCCUCCGGCUCAACCGGAGAACUGCCUCGAAUACUGGAGGUCUCGAGGGUGGUAGGGGCACGCGGAACUGUGGGUGGAGCGGUGAAAUGCGUUGAUAUCCACAGGAACUCCGGUGGCGAAGGCGGCGUGCUGGACCACAUCUGACGCUGAGGCGCGAAAGCCAGGGGAGCGAACGGG
rnacentral:rRNA from 1 species